rnacentral:rRNA from 2 species
AUAGGGGAGCCGAAGGGAAACCGAGUCUUAACCGGGCGUUAAGUUGCAGGGUAUAGACCCGAAACCCGGUGAUCUAGCCAUGGGCAGGUUGAAGGUUGGGUAACACUAACUGGAGGACCGAACCGACUAAUGUUGAAAAAUUAGCGGAUGACUUGUGGCUGGGGGUGAAAGGCCAAUCAAACCGGGAGAUAGCUGGUUCUCCCCGAAAGCUAUUUAGGUAGCGCCUCGUGAACUCAUCUUCGGGGGUAGAGCACUGUUUCGGCUAGGGGGUCAUCCCGACUUACCAACCCGAUGCAAACUGCGAAUACCGAAGAAUGUUAUCACGGGAGACACACGGCGGGUGCUAACGUCCGUCGUGAAGAGGGAAACAACCCAGACCGCCAGCUAAGGUCCCAAAGUCACAGUUAAGUGGGAAACGAUGUGGGAAGGCUCAGACAGCCAGGAUGUUGGCUUAGAAGCAGCCAUCAUUUAAAGAAAGCGUAAUAGCUCACUGGUCGAGUCGGCCUGCGCGGAAGAUGUAACGGGGCUAAACUGUGCACCGAAGCUGCGGCAGCGACGCUUAUGCGUUGUUGGGUAGGGGAGCGUUCUGUAAGCCUGCGAAGGUGUCCUGUGAGGGAUGCUGGAGGUAUCAGAAGUGCGAAUGCUGACAUAAGUAACGAUAA